AUAGCGUAUAUUAAAGUUGUUGCAGUUAAAAAGCUCGUAGUUGAACUUCAGGCCUGGUCUGGCGGUCCGCUUAACGGCGUGUACUGUCGGACUGGGGCUUACCUCUUGGGGAACUGGCGUGUCCUUUAUUGGAUGCGUCAGGGAACCAGGACUUUUACCUUGAGAAAAUUAGAGUGUUCAAAGCAGGCCUAUGCCUGAAUACAUUAGCAUGGAAUAAUAAAAUAGGACGUGCGGUUCUAUUUUGUUGGUUUCUAGAGUCGCCGUAAUGAUUAAUAGGGAUAGUUGGGGGCAUUGGUAUUGAGUCGCUAGAGGUGAAAUUCUUGGAUUGACUCAAGACCAACUAUUG
rnacentral:rRNA from 1 species